rnacentral:rRNA from 1 species
UACGUAGGGUGCAAGCGUUAAUCGGAAUUACUGGGCGUAAAGCGUGCGCAGGCGGUUUUGUAAGUCUGAUGUGAAAUCCCCGGGCUCAACCUGGGAAUUGCAUUGGAGACUGCAAGGCUAGAAUCUGGCAGAGGGGGGUAGAAUUCCACGUGUAGCAGUGAAAUGCGUAGAGAUGUGGAGGAACACCGAUGGCGAAGGCAGCCCCCUGGGUCAAGAUUGACGCUCAUGCACGAAAGGCGUGGGGAGCAAACAGG